rnacentral:rRNA from 1 species
CCUACGGGAGGCAGCAGUGGGGGAUAUUGCACAAUGGGGGAAACCCUGCUGCAGCGACGCCGCGUGGGUGAAGAAGCGCCUCGGCGCGUACAGCCCUGUCAGCAGGGAAGAAAAUGACGGUACCUGAAGAAGAAGCCCCGGCUAACUACGUGCCAGCAGCCGCGGUAAACAGUAGGGGGCAAGCGUUAUCCGGCUGUACUGGGUGUAAAGGGGGCGCAGACGGCGAUGCAAGCCAGGAGUGAAAGCCCGGGGCCCAACCCCGGGACUGCUCUGGGAACUGCGUGGCUAGAGUGCAGGAGGGGCAGGCGGAAUUCCUGGGGUAGCGGUGAAAUGCGGAGAUAUCAGGAGGAACACCGGUGGCGAAGGCGGCCUGCUGGACUGCAACUGACGUUGAGGCCCGAAAGCGUGGGGAGCAAACAGGAUUAGAUACCCUAGUAGUC